rnacentral:lncRNA from 1 species
ACAAAUUCACAAGAUAUUCGCAAAGAUACCAACGAUCUGAAAAGUCUCAAUAAAUGCAUGGGAUAUUCAUAAAGAUCAAAACUCUCUCUUCUUGAUAAUCAAAUAUAUCAAGAAGACAAACCCUCCUUUCAUGGAGAUCAAAUCCAAAUGUUCCUACGUUCGAGAAAUAUGUCACUAACGGCCCUCAAAUUAUGGAGAAAUUCAUAUCCAAAUCUUCAUACAUUCGAGAAAUAUGCUACUGACGUCCCUCGAAUUACAGAGAAAAUCAUGAGAGAAGAAUUCAUAUCCAAAUCUUCAUGCAUUCGAGAAAUAUGCUAUUGACGUCCUUCGAAUUACGGAGAAAAUCAUGAGAGAAGAAUCAAGGGAGGAACAGAUUUGUACCCCCAUCGUUUAUCAAUA